AGGGCUCGCAGGCGGUUUCUUAAGUCUGAUGUGAAAGCCCCCGGCUCAACCGGGGAGGGUCAUUGGAAACUGGGAAACUUGAGUGCAGAAGAGGAGAGUGGAAUUCCACGUGUAGCGGUGAAAUGCGUAGAGAUGUGGAGGAACACCAGUGGCGAAGGCGACUCUCUGGUCUGUAACUGACGCUGAGGAGCGAAAGCGUGGGGAGCGAACAGGAUUAGAUACCCUGGUAGUCCACGCCGUAAACGAUGAGUGCUAAGUGUUAGGGGGUUUCCGCCCCUUAGUGCUGCAGCUAACGCAUUAAGCACUCCGCCUGGGGAGUACGGUCGCAAGACUGAAACUCAAAGGAAUUGACGGGGGCCCGCACAAGCGGUGGAGCAUGUGGUUUAAUUCGAAGCAACGCGAAGAACCUUACCAGGUCUUGACAUCCUCUGACAAGCCUAGAGAUAGGGCUUUCCCUUCGGGGACAGAGUGACAGGUGGUGCAUGGUUGUCGUCAGCUCGUGUCGUGAGAUGUUGGGUUAAGUCCCGCAACGAGCGCAACCCUUGAUCUUAGUUGCCAGCAUUCAGUUGGGCACUCUAAGGUGACUGCCGGUGACAAACCGGAGGAAGGUGGGGAUGACGUCAAAUCAUCAUGCCCCUUAUGACCUGUGCUACACACGUGCUACAAUGGACAGAACAAAGGGCUGCAAGACCGCAAGGUUUAGCCAAUCCCAUAAAUCUGUUCUCAGUUCGGAUCGCAGUCUGCAACUCGACUGCGUGAAGCUGGGAUCGCUAGUAAUCGCGGAUCAGCAUGCCGCG
rnacentral:rRNA from 1 species